rnacentral:rRNA from 1 species
UACGUAGGGUCCGAGCGUUGUCCGGAAUUACUGGGCGUAAAGCGUACGUAGGCGGCUUUGUAAGUAAGAGGUGAAAGCCCGGAGCUCAACUCCGGAACUGCCUUUUAGACUGCAUCGCUUGAAUCCAGGAGAGGUGAGUGGAAUUCCGAGUGUAGAGGUGAAAUUCGUAGAUAUUCGGAAGAACACCAGUGGCGAAGGCGGCUCACUGGACUGGUAUUGACGCUGAGGUACGAAAGCGUGGGGAGCAAACAGGG